GAUGAACGCUGGCGGCGUGCCUAAUACAUGCCAGUCGAGCGAACAGACGAGGAGCUUGCUCCUCUGACGUUAGCGGCGGACGGGUGAGUAACACGUGGAUAACCUACCUAUAAGACUGGGAUAACUUCGGGAAACCGGAGCUAAUACCGGAUAACAUGUUGAACCGCAUGGUUUAACAGUGAAAGACGGUCUUGCUGUCACUUAUAGAUGGAUCCGCGCCGCAUUAGCUAGUUGGUAAGGUAACGGCUUACCAAGGCAACGACGCGUAGCCGACCUGAGAGGGUGAUCGGCCACACUGGAACUGAGACACGGUCCAGACUCCUACGGGAGGCAGCAGUAGGGAAUCUUCCGCAAUGGGCGAAAGCCUGACGGAGCAACGCCGCGUGAGUGAAGAAGGUCUUCGGAUCGUAAAACUCUGUUAUUAGGGAAGAACAAAUGUGUAAGUAACUAUGCACGUCUUGACGGUACCUAAUCAGAAAGCCACGGCUAACUACGUG
rnacentral:rRNA from 1 species